AUUGAACGCUGGCGGCAUGCCUUACACAUGCAAGUCGAACGGCAGCACGGGAGCUUGCUCCUGGUGGCGAGUGGCGAACGGGUGAGUAAUAUAUCGGAACGUACCCUAGAGUGGGGAUAACGCAGCGAAAGUUGCGCUAAUACCGCAUACGAUCUACGGAUGAAAGUGGGGGAUCGCAAGACCUCAUGCUCAUGGAGCGGCCGAUAUCUGAUUAGCUAGUUGGUGGGUAAAGGCCUACCAAGGCAUCGAUCAGUAGCUGGUCUGAGAGGACGACCAGCCACACUGGAACUGAGACACGGUCCAGACUCCUACGGGAGGCAGCAGUGGGGAAUUUUGGACAAUGGGGGCAACCCUGAUCCAGCAAUGCCGCGUGAGUGAAGAAGGCCU
rnacentral:rRNA from 1 species